rnacentral:rRNA from 1 species
UACGUAGGGUGCGAGCGUUGUCUGGAAUUACUGGGCGUAAAGAGCUCGUAGGUGGUUUGUCGCGUUGUUCGUGAAAACCUGAGGCUUAACCUUGGGCGUGCGGGCGAUACGGGCAGACUGGAGUACUGCAGGGGAGACUGGAAUUCCUGGUGUAGCGGUGGAAUGCGCAGAUAUCAGGAGGAACACCGGUGGCGAAGGCGGGUCUCUGGGCCGAUACUGACGCUGAGGAGCGAAAGCGUGGGGAGCGAACGGG